rnacentral:rRNA from 1 species
UGGGGAAUCUUCCGCAAUGGACGAAAGUCUGACGGAGCAACGCCGCGUGAGUGAUGACGGCCUUCGGGUUGUAAAGCUCUGUUAAUCGGGACGAAUGGUUCUUGUGCAAAUAGUGCAAGGAUUUGACGGUACCGGAAUAGAAAGCCACGGCUAACUAUGUGCCAGCAGCCGCGGUAAUACGUAGGUGGCAAGCGUUGUCCGGAAUUAUUGGGCGUAAAGCGCGCGCAGGCGGAUUGGUCAGUCUGUCUUAAAAGUUCGGGGCUUAACCCCGUGAUGGGAUGGAAACUGCCAAUCUAGAGUAUCGGAGAGGAAAGUGGAAUUCCUAGUGUAGCGGUGAAAUGCGUAGAUAUUAGGAAGAACACCAGUGGCGAAGGCGACUUUCUGGACGAAAACUGACGCUGAGGCGCGAAAGCCAGGGGAGCGAACGGGAUUAGAUACCCCGGUAGUCCUGGCCGUAAACGAUGGGUACUAGGUGUAGGAGGUAUCGACCCCUUCUGUGCCGGAGUUAACGCAAUAAGUACCCCGCCUGGGGAGUACGACCGCAAGGUUG